AUUGAACGCUGGCGGCGUGCUUAACACAUGCAAGUCGAGCGAGCGGCGGACGGGUGGGUAAUGUCUGGGAAACUUCCUGAUGAAGGGGGAUAACUACUGGAAACGGUAGCUAAUACCGCAUACCAUCAGAUGUGCCCAGAUGGGAUUAGCUAGUAGGUGGGGUAAUGGCUCACCUAGGCGACGAUCCCUAGCUGGUCUGAGAGGAUGACCAGCCACACUGGAACUGAGACACGGUCCAGACGCCUACGGGAGGCAGCAGUGGGGAAUAUUGCACAAUGGGCGCAAGCCUGAUGCAGCCAGGCCGCGUGUGUGAAGAAGGCCUUCGGGGUGUAAAGCACUGUCAGCGAGGAGGCGUUACUCGCAGAAGAAGCACCGGCUAACUCCGUGCCAGCAGCCGCGGUAAUUC
rnacentral:rRNA from 1 species